UUUUUCUCAGGCUAUGUUUUCGGGCGAGCACCUCCGAAGUCCCGCGGGCCGUGAGCACGGCUCCCCCUCAUCGAGAGGAGAAGCCGCAUUCUGCGAAAGCAACUGGAGACGCGAGACAAAACACUCGGAAAAAACCAGAAGAACAGCGAGGCCCUUUGUAGGAAAAUUGGAUGACAGAGAAAAGGCAAAGCAAGAAUUACGCAGACCAACCGUAAGAAAAAAUAAGCCCCACGCGUGAAAGCAGAGCAAAACAUCUUAACGGCGCCGCGCGAUGUGUCCGUCGGGAGGAUUUUUGUCCCUGAUGGAACCCGAGAUGGAGAAAUACUGUUUGGGGCUGGUUUGGAGGGGUUUUUCUCCUCCUCCCAGGCAGCGUGAAGCGCAGCGCUGCGUUCUCUCGCUAGGUAAAGCAUCGGCCGGCGCUGCCUCCUCUUGUCCCGCCUACGAUGCGGCUGUCGAUUUUGCUUUCUUGGCUUCCCACGUAUUGCCGAGCUUUAUUAAUUGUAAGAAAAAAGCGACUCCAUCUCAUGCUUUUGUCUCGAGCACGCUCAUAAGGGUUACGGCUUCUUUUACCGAAAUAAGCCAGAAAAUCAUAAAGCGCUUGUUUCUCGGUACGGUGGUGCUGAUGUUCCGCGCAACUGCCAAGAAAAGGGCAACUUUUGGUUUUGAACAGAGGAGAAUAUGGUGGUUAAAACCCAGGAAAUGGCUGGGGCCGGUAAAAGUCCACAUUUCAUAUUACUGAAUUUUCAUAAAUGUGGGUGGGGAGCAUCCUUUUAUUGACAUCAAAGUUCGGUGGGGAUGAGAAGCAGCACCUGGCUGCCAGUUAAUAACAGGUUCCUAAUUUGUGAUUUAUAACUUUUUUGAAAUACUAACUGCCGGACGUUGCCCGAGGCAAACGGAAUAUUGUUUCCUUGGUGCCCAUCAGCCAGCGCAGCUUCACUCCUCCAGCCGCUGCGUCACCUUGAAAGCACUUUUGGGUUUUAUUUGUGCCUUUUCACGCGGCGCCCGUGCACCCGAGAGCAUCCUGAAGGAAGCGCCCUCGUUUCUGCCUAAAGCGGAGUCCCCAGCCAUUCCUUGAACAGGAUUUCUCCUCCUUCCCUGUCUGCCUGUCAAACCUGCUGGGUGAAGAGAGGGAGGAUUAAGUGAGAAAACAAGUUGAACGAGCCGGCCUCGCGCGGCCGCUCUGUCUGUCUUCGCACCCGCUUUCCUUCCCGGAUCCUUCCCGACAAAGCUUUUUAAAUCCUCUGCUCGCCUCCCCGGUGAGACAGCGGAGAACGGGGGAGCAGAAACGAGCAAGUUAACGGUCCUUUUCCCCCCUCUUCUCCUGCUUUUCAGACCCCUCGAUUACGGAAAUCGGGCGAUGCGCUGCAGAGGUUUUUGGCCGCGGAACGUUCUCCCUCUCAGCCCUUCAGAGAGUCGGCUUCCUCCAAAUCCGCUGAAUUUGAAAGGACGAAGCAGAGCGACGUUCACCGAGGACGGGCGCUGCCCUGGCGCGUUUGCCAUCCGCCGCUCUCCCGCGCUUGUACUUGAGGCGGCGGAUGGGGUCGGUGAUGCUUCUCCUGCUCCAGUCCUCAAAAUCCUCUGCCAAGAGAAAAUUCCGAUCUACCAGCUCGGCAGCCUCCUGCCAAUUUCGGAAGCAAGCGGGGCCCACGCGCCGGAUCUCUUCCACGGCGUUUCCAACGAUUACCUCCCCGUUCGGCUUCAGCACCACCACCGCCGGCACCUCGGACACGGCAAACCGCAGCUCCAGCUCCCUGCAAGGCAAAGGGGGAAGAAAACUCAAAUCAGGAAGGGCGUGCCGCUCCUCAUCCUCACCGGCCGGUAGGAUUCCCGUGGAGCCGAUUUGCCGAACGUAACCCGCUCGUUUGUCCGUCGCUGGUAAUUAGAGCCUGAUGCGGAUCUCUGUGGGGCCGGUAAAACGUGGGGCGGGGAGGGGGGGAGAGGAUUUGGGCCACGGGACCCGUUUUACACGAGCAGCAAUUAAACAGCAGCUUCAUGUUUUACCGUCCUCCAGUUCGUCCUCCAGAGGAGCUGGAAAUAAUUCUCGGUAUUAAUUGCAGCUCGUUCUGUCGUUAAUGAGGUUACAGUAAAUACACGAGCGCUUCCAAUCCGCCCGGCUGCAUCCGUCUUUCACGCUACGCGUUCUGCCUGGAGGGUCGGCUGACGUGUUAUAAAUAGCGCGUCGCAAAAUCGGGACACGAAUAUAUCAGCAAAAAGGGAGAUGGAAGGAAGAGGAAAUAUUUUUGCUUUAUAAACAGGCGCAGCCAAAGAUGUUUUCCAUUAACGCGCCACGCCGACCAUUCCCGUGGGGACCGAACGUGAGGGGAAACACGUGAAAAAAAACCUCUGAACAUCGAAAAAUACGGCCCGGGGCUGGUCUGCCUCGCUCCUUCACCCGAGCCGUACCUUUUGAAGGCGUCCCCGAAAGGCACGGCCAGCCAGCGUUUCGGCAUGGUCCUCAGGAACGCGCUCUGCUGCUCCUCCGUCUCGUCGCGGGACACGUACACCAGGACCAGCUGCGAAGCUCGUUCCACGUAAAACUGGUCAG